rnacentral:lncRNA from 1 species
GGAGCACAACGUCGAAAGCAGCCGUUGGGAGCCCAGGAGGCGGGGCGCCUGUGGGAGCCGUGGAGGGAACUUUCCCAGUCCCCGAGGCGGAUCCGGUGUUGCAUCCUUGGAGCGAGCUGAGAGCUCGAGUACAGAACCUGCUAAGGCCAUCAAACCUAUUGAUCGGAAGUCAGUCCAUCAGAUUUGCUCUGGGCCGGUGGUACCGAGUCUAAGCACUGCGGUGAAGGAGUUAGUAGAAAACAGUCUGGAUGCUGGUGCCACUAAUAUUGUGAUGUCACCAUUUCUACCUGCCAUGUAUCGGCGAAGGUUGGGACUCGACUGGUGUUUGAUCACUAUGGGAAAAUCAUCCAGAAAACCCCCUACCCCCACCCCAGAGGGAUGACAGUCAGUGUGAAGCAGUUAUUUUCUACGCUACCUGUGCACCAUAAAGAAUUUCAAAGGAAUAUUAAGAAGAAACGUGCCUGCUUCCCCUUCGCCUUCUGCCGUGAUUGUCAGUUUCCUGAGGCCUCCCCAGCCAUGCUUCCUGUACAGCCUGCAGAACUGACUCCUAGAAGUACCCCACCCCACCCCUGCUCCUUGGAGGACAACGUGAUCACUGUAUUCAGCUCUGUCAAGAAUGGUCCAGGUUCUUCUAGAUGAUCUGCACAAAUGGCUCCUCUCCUCCUUCCUGAUGUCUGCCAUUAGCACUGGAAUAAAGUUCCUGCUGAAAAUCCACA